rnacentral:rRNA from 1 species
GUCUAUGGCCAUGCCACCCUGAACAAGCCAAGGCCUGAUCUUAGAAGCUAAGCAGGGUCGGGCCUGGUUAGUACUUGGAUGGGAGACCACCUAGGAAGACCAGGUGCUGUAGGCA